rnacentral:rRNA from 1 species
UACAGAGGGUGCGAGCGUUAAUCGGAAUUACUGGGCGUAAAGCGUGCGCAGGCGGUUUUGUAAGCCAGAUGUGAAAUCCCCGGGCUCAACCUGGGAAUGGCAUUUGGGACUGCAAGGCUUGAGUGCGGAAGAGGAGACUGGAAUUCCUGGUGUAGCAGUGAAAUGCGUAGAUAUCAGGAGGAAUACCGAUGGCGAAGGCAGGUCUCUGGGCUGACACUGACGCUCAUGCACGAAAGCGUGGGGAGCAAACAGG